rnacentral:lncRNA from 1 species
GGAAAUCGCCGGGCGGGCACGCAGGUGGCCGCCGGGUCGGCCGGCCCGCACUCCCUGGGUGGUUGCGAGUCCCUCGGCCUCUGGCCCCCGGCCCAGGCAGCCCCGGCGGGCGGCGGGGCAGGGCGGUAAUUGCCCCGAGACGCGGCGCUUAUCCGGGCGCGUUGUGCAAGGCCGCGCGAGCAGAACCUGGGGCAGCGGCUCUCACGCUCGGCUCCGGGCCCGCGGGCCGUCCGCCUCCGUCCUCGCGGGGACCUUCCGCCGCCUGGUGAGCGGGACCCACGCCGCGGGCGCCCGCCGAUGCCACGCGGAAAUGGUGUGCGCAGUGGUCCCCUCCACUGCCCCUCAACACUGGAUUCAGACCGCGGACUAGAUUCCAGUUGCUUCUGCCACUGAUGAGUUCUAGAUGGCCUUGGGAAAUUUACUUGCCUCCUCCAGUCUUGGGCUUCCUCUCUUCCAGUUAAAUGAUGACAACUGAGAAAAGUCUUGACGCUUUAGAGAAGAAACUUGGUGACUGCACCCUCUCCAUCUUCAGAUACCAGCAGCCACGUGGAGCCCAUACCUCUCUCUGUGGAUUGUGUUUACUGGAAACCGCCACUGAGAUGGGGCCGCACAGUAACCUCACAUUCAUUGAACAUGUCCCAAGUUGAACACUGUCAUCUUCCUCUUCCAAAGCCACACAGCCACUCUGGGUUCUGUAUAACCUGGUCAUAGAAGAUGGAAUUAUCCUCAAGUAUUUCUUCUACACCCCCCACCCCCGCCACCACCACCACCAGGGCUGUCCUUAAACGACCCUUCAGAUUCCCAAUUGCACCAUUUCGGUCCUAGCCCUAAUCACUGCCAUAUUAGUCACAAGGAAGAUGGCAGCAGCCUCCUAACUUGUCUCUCUCCCAUCUCAGCGACUCUGAUCCACUCUGUGCUGGGUGCCAGAGUGCACUUUCUAGAACAUUUCGUCAUUCUGCUAUGAUCUGAAUGCUUACCUUGCCCCCAGGGUUACACAUUGAAACCCCAACCCAAAGUGAUGGCACUAGGAAGUGAGGCUUUGGGGGAAAUGACCAGUGUCCUUAUAACAUAAGCUCAAGGGAGCUCAUUACCCCUUCCGCCUUUGGGGAAGACUAGGAGAAGUCACAAAGUGUGAAUUAAGAAAGAGCACUCAUUCUACUUAGCACCCUGAUGCCAAAUUCCCAGCCUCAAAAUGAUGAGAAACAUUUCUAUUGUUUAUAAGUCACCCAGUUAUGGCGUUUUGUUACUGCUUUCCUCCUCUCCUCCAGCUGGCCUCCAGACUGUACUGUCACUUACCUGCCCUCCAGACUGUAGCCACAUGGAACCUACUUCUGCUCUCAGCAUGUCAUGAUGCUGGUAUUAGUGUUCAGGCAUCUGUACUGGCCUGUCCUUUGGGUCCUGACAGGAUAAGCCCACAGCUGCAGCCACCAAGAGCACCACCUGUGCAUAGUCACUAUAUUCCUUUUUAAAAGGGCCCUGCCACCUCCCAUCCUUCUCUCCCUCUUUCUGUUCCCCUCUCUUUCCCCCCUCUUUCCUCUCUCUCCCCCUUUGCUUUCUCUCUCCUGCUGCUCCUGUCUCCAGAAGACAGUCUCUCCCCUUCCCUUUCCCCCUUUUAUGAUCCCUUUCCCUAAUAAAAACCCCUCUGUUUGAACCUGUCACACAGAGUCUUUCUCUCACACACCACUUUUCUUAAAUUACAAUAGGCAGGGGGCUGGAGAGAUGGCUCAGAGGUUAAGAGCUCCGACCCCUCUUCCAGAGGUCCUGAGUUCAAUUCUCAGCAACCACAUGGUGGUGGCUCACAACCAUCUGUAAUGAGAUCUGGUGCCCUCUUCUGGUGUGCAGAUAUACAUGGAAGCAGAAUGUUGUAUACAUAAUAAAUAAAAUUUUAAAAAAGAACAUUUAAAAAA